GACGAACGCUGGCGGCGUGCCUAAUACAUGCAAGUCGAACGCAGUGGGGACGGGUGAGUAACACGUGGGUAACCUCCCAUCAGAGGGGAUAACACUUGGAAACAGGUGCUAAACCGAUACUGAUGGAUGGACCCGCGGUGCAUUAGCUAGUUGGUGAGGUAACGGCUCACCAAGGCCACGAUGCAUAGCCGACCUGAGAGGGUGAUCGGCCACACUGGGACUGAGACACGGCCCAGACUCCUACGGGAGGCAGCAGUAGGGAAUCUUCGGCAAUGGACGAAAGUCUGACCGAGCAACGCCGCGUGAGUGAAGAAGGUUUUCGGAUCGUAAAGCUCUGUUGUAAGAGAAGCGGUAUCUUACCAGAAAGCCACGGCUAACUACGUGCCAGCAGCCGCGGUAAUUC
rnacentral:rRNA from 1 species